rnacentral:tRNA from 1 species
UCUCUGGUGGUCCAGUGGCUAAGACUCUGCACUCCCAAUGCAGGGGGUCUGGGUUCGAUCCCUGGUCAGAGAA